AGUGAACGCUGGCGGUAGGCCUAACACAUGCAAGUCGAACGGCAGCACAGUAAGAGUUUGCUCUUACGGGUGGCGAGUGGCGGACGGGUGAGGCAUACAUCGGCAUCUUCUUUUUCGUGGGGGAUAACGUAGGGAAACUUACGCUAAUACCGCAUAUGAUCUACGGGUGAAAGCAGGGGAUCUUCGCACCUUGCGCGAUUGAAUGAGCUGAUGUCGGAUUAGCUAGUUGGCGGGGUAAAGGCCCACCAAGGCGACGAUCCGUAGCUGGUCUGAGAGGAUGAUCAGCCACACUGGAACUGAGACACGGUCCAGACUCCUACGGGAGGCAGCAGUGGGGAAUAUUGGACAAUGGGCGCAAGCCUGAUCCAGCCAUACCGCGUGGGUGAAGAAGGCCUUCGGGUUGUAAAGCCCUUUUGUUGGGAAAGAAAAGCAGCAGGUUAAUACCCCGCUGUUCUGACGGUACCCAAAGAAUAAGCACCGGCUAACUUCGUG
rnacentral:rRNA from 1 species